UGAGGAAUAUUGGUCAAUGGGCGGGAGCCUGAACCAGCCAAGCCGCGUGAGGGAGGAAGGCCCUAUGGGUCGUAAACCUCUUUUGUCAGGGAACAAAAGCGAGUAUGUAUACUAGUCUGAGUGUACCUGAAGAAAAAGGCAUCGGCUAACUCCGUGCCAGCAGCCGCGGUAAUACGGAGGAUGCGAGCGUUAUCCGGAUUUAUUGGGUUUAAAGGGUGCGUAGGCGGCGGUGCAAGUCAGCGGUAAAAGCCCGGGGGCCUCAACCCCGGCGAGCCGUUGAAACUGCAGUGCUAGAGAAGGCGAGAGGUACGCGGAAUGCGCAGUGUAGCGGUGAAAUGCUUAGAUAUUGCGCAGAACUCCGAUUGCGAAGGCAGCGUACUGGCGCCUGACUGACGCUGAGGCACGAAAGGCGUGGGGAUCGAACAGGAUUAGAUACC
rnacentral:rRNA from 1 species